rnacentral:misc_RNA from 1 species
AAACAUACACACACACACACACACACGCACAUCCACAUACACGAACCCAGUCGCGCACUCAGGUGCGCACAUCGAGGGGAGUGAGAGAGAAGAGCGGACGCCUCGCGCUCAUCCUCAUUCCACCGCCCUCGCCCCACACCACCGUGGACGAGACUGAACUCUUUUUUUCGCCUUUCUGUCUUCUCUAGUCGUCUACGUCGUCACACACACGUGCACACGGGGAGGAGCGACACAAGAGGCCGAGAGAUGAGCCUUUUAGAGGAGCGCUACGCUCCGCCGUCGCAGCGCGGCGUGCUCUACUUUAAUACCAUCCCGCGCGACAUGCGACCACAGGAGAUCCGGCUGCACUUCAAUCGUUACGGCGAAAUUCGUCGCAUGAAGUUCAUUCCCUUCCCGAAGAAGGCGCGCCGCCCGGGCGGACCGCUUCUCCCGUUGCAAUACAAGGAGGGCUGGAUGGAGUUCACCUCCGCUAGCGAUGCGCAACAUGCGGCGCAGUGCAUGAAUGGCCAGCCGAUCGACGUGAAGCGGCAGCGUCGGUGCUACGGUCAGCUGUGGACAGUGCGCUUCAUGGACGGGUUCACGUGGGACUCACUGUUGGAGGAGGCGGAAGGGAAGCGGCGUGCUCGGCGUGCGGCCGAGGUGGAGGCGCGCAGGGCGGAGCGGUCCAUGAACGAGGCUUAUCGGCGGAUGGUGAUGCAGGCGGAGCAGCAGCGAAAGGCGAAGCGGCGCCCUCGCGAGAAAGUGGAGGCGGCCAGCCACAGCGACGCCGAUGCGGAAGGCGAUGCGUCAAAUUCAUCCGUAGCUACAGACAGCGGAGCUUCACGUGUUCGCGGCGGUACAGGUCGUGGUGCCGCAGCCAAGUCUUCCACCAAGCCGAAGGCGCAUUCGGCGAAGAAGUCCGAGCUCGACCCCACGAAGAAGGCUAAGAGGCGCCGAGACGCGUAGCAACGAGCAAGCUGGAGCGGGCGGUGGCGAAGCGAUCGGGGGAAAGGGGAUAGCGCAAGACAGCCUGUAGGAGAGGCCUCAUCCGUGCGACGUUCCUCCUCCUGCAUAUAUCGGCUCCCUUUUCAUCUUUGCUGUUCGCUCGAGUUGUCUCUGCUCUGGUCUCGUACGCUCGGUUGCUCUGGAGGCGUCCACGGGGGCUUUCGCGCAUGUUGCCGCAGCGCGAGCAGAUCCGCUUGUGCGCGUAUGUGUACGGCACAAACGUGCUCAUCUUUUCACUGUAUAAGACGCAGUAAGCCAAGCGAAC